rnacentral:lncRNA from 1 species
AGAAUACACAAAGGAGUAGGUCCGGUAAGGACUCAUUUUGGCCUCAAAUUUCAGUUUCAUCUGACGAAAGAUUUUGACCACUUUUUAAAGACUUAAGUGUCUAUUUCAUUUGAUUUAAUUAGUAUAAGUGAAAGAUUUUAACUGAUUUAGUCAUUAAAAACGAUCCGAUUCAAGCUCAAAUAUGAAUAUCUCUCAAAUAUGCCCCAAAA